rnacentral:rRNA from 1 species
AUGGUGGAGCUGCUCGGCACCAAGGCCGUCCAGGGGGAGGAGCCGCCCAGGAUACUCCACUUCAACCCCAGGAUCAGAGGCGACUUCAGCGGCCGCCCCGUCAUCGAGCUCAACACCUGCUACCGCAUGCAGUGGGCGCUGCCGCAGAGCAUGGUGGCACGAGCAUCUCGCAGAUCUUCAACCGGCAUCUGCGACAUGCAUAUUUCUUAG